rnacentral:rRNA from 1 species
GAUGAACGCUAGCUACAGGCUUAACACAUGCAAGUCGAGGGGCAUCAGGAAGAAAGCUUGCUUUCUUUGCUGGCGACCGGCGCACGGGUGAGUAACACGUAUCCAACCUGCCCUUUACUCGGGGAUAGCCUUUCGAAAGAAAGAUUAAUACCCGAUAGCAUAAUGAUUCCGCAUGGUUUCAUUAUUAAAGGAUUCCGGUAAAGGAUGGGGAUGCGUUCCAUUAGGUUGUUGGUGAGGUAACGGCCCACCAAGCCUUCGAUGGAUAGGGGUUCUGAGAGGAAGGUCCCCCACAUUGGAACUGAGACACGGUCCAAACUCCUACGGGAGGCAGCAGUGAGGAAUAUUGGUCAAUGGGCGUUAGCCUGAACCAGCCAAGUAGCGUGAAGUAUGAAGGCUCUAUGGGUCGUAAACUUCUUUUAUAUAAGAAUAAAGUGCAGUAUGUAUACUGUUUUGUAUGUAUUAUAUGAAUAAGGAUCGGCUAACUCCGUGCCAGCAGCCGCGGUAAUACGGAGGAUCCGAGCGUUAUCCGGAUUUAUUGGGUUUAAAGGGAGCGUAGGUGGACUGGUAAGUCAGUUGUGAAAGUUUGCGGCUCAACCGUAAAAUUGCAGUUGAUACUGUCAGUCUUGAGUACAGUAGAGGUGGGCGGAAUUCGUGGUGUAGCGGUGAAAUGCUCAGAUAUCACGAAGAACUCCGAUUGCGAAGGCAGCUCACUGGACUGCAACUGACACUGAUGCUCGAAAGUGUGGGUAUCAAACAGG